rnacentral:rRNA from 2 species
GAGUUUGAUCCUGGCUCAGAUUGAACGCUGGCGGCAUGCCUUACACAUGCAAGUCGAACGGCAGCACGGGAGCUUGCUCCUGGUGGCGAGUGGCGAACGGGUGAGUAAUGCAUCGGAACGUAUCCUGGAGUGGGGGAUAACGUAGCGAAAGUUACGCUAAUACCGCAUAUUCUGUGAGCAGGAAAGCGGGGGACCUUCGGGCCUCGCGCUCUUGGAGCGGCCGAUGUCGGAUUAGCUAGUUGGUGAGGUAAAGGCUCACCAAGGCGACGAUCCGUAGCAGGUCUGAGAGGAUGAUCUGCCACACUGGAACUGAGACACGGUCCAGACUCCUACGGGAGGCAGCAGUGGGAAUUUUGGACAAUGGGGGCAACCCUGAUCCAGCCAUGCCGCGUGAGUGAAGAAGGCCUC